rnacentral:rRNA from 1 species
ACGAACGCUGGCGGCGUGCUUAACACAUGCACGUCAAACGGAAAGGCCCUGCUUUUGUGGGGUGCUCGAGUGGCGAACGGGUGAGUAACACGUGAGUAACCUGCCCUUGACUUUGGGAUAACUUCAGGAAACUGGGGCUAAUACCGGAUAGGAGCUCCUGCUGCAUGGUGGGGGUUGGAAAGUUUCGGCGGUUGGGGAUGGACUCGCGGCUUAUCAGCUUGUUGGUGGGGUAGUGGCUUACCAAGGCUUUGACGGGUAGCCGGCCUGAGAGGGUGACCGGCCACAUUGGGACUGGGAUACGGCCCAGACUCCUACGGGAGGCAGCAGUGGGGAAUAUUGCACAAUGGGCGGAAGCCUGAUGCAGCAACGCCGCGUGCGGGAUGACGGCCUUCGGGUUGUAAACCGCUUUCGCCUGUGACGAAGCGUGAGUGACGGUAAUGGGUAAAGAAGCACCGGCUAACUACGUG